ACUCCUACGGGAGGCAGCAGUGGGGAAUAUUGCACAAUGGGCGCAAGCCUGAUGCAGCCAUGCCGCGUGUGUGAAGAAGGCCUUCGGGUUGUAAAGCACUUUCAGUCGUGAGGAAGGUAGUGUAGUUAAUAGCUCGCAUUAUUUGACGUUAGCGACAGAAGAAGCAUCCCGGCAANUUCCNCCAGCAGCCGCGGUAAUACGGAGGGUGCGAGCGUUAAUCGGAAUUACUGGGCGUAAAGCGCAUGCAGGUGGUUUGUUAAGUCAGAUGUGAAAGCCCGGGGCUCAACCUCGGAAUUGCAUUUGAAACUGGCAGACUAAGAGUACUGUAG
rnacentral:rRNA from 1 species